rnacentral:lncRNA from 1 species
UAGAAGUAAUUCUUUACUGUUACUGUCUAAGUAUUUUAGUGUGUUUACGUGUAGAACAAUACAUUUUAAAGUGACACUCCAGUAUUUCUGGUGUGCUACACUAAGCUGUCUGUGUGUCGACUGGAGCGGAAACUUUCAGCCGCUAUCAUGAAGCCGUGAAGGCUUAAUCUGGUCAAGCAUGUGUCUUCUCCAUCUUGGCACAGUUCCACAGUCGUGAAGCCUGGCCCCUCCACGGUGAGAACAGGUGACACGAGAGGGUUCGCAGGAGGAGGUGAGCAGCCGCCACAGCAUUCCCCCUCUGCAGAGCCCUCACCAGAGUUUAAGGCCUCCAGGGCGAAGCCUGGAUGGAGAUGGUGGGGGGUCCCAAAACUCUCAAGGAUGUGAGGAGUUUCAGAGGAGAUCAAGCCGGACGUUGUGGGUCUAGUUUUCCUCCGUAGCGUUGUAUCCCUCUAUUCCAGGUCACUGCUAUCUCCGUUUGCCCUCUCAAAACCUAUACACGCGCUCCCAGGUCUGCGACAUUCCUUCUUUACGUCUCCCUGACCAUGUUUCUCUUGUCCACCCCACCCCAGUGCAAGGCUUUGAAGCAGGGGAUUAGCGUCUGUUUCGAUUACAGAGGAUGGAUGGAUGACGUCAGUCCGGC